ACAGUGGACGCGAGCAUCUGUGGCCAAGUUUUUAAGGGCGCACGGUGGAUGCCUUGGCACCAGGAACCGAUGAAGGACGUGGGAGGCCACGAUAGUCCCCGGGGAGCUGUCAACCAAGCUUUGAUCCGGGGGUUUCCGAAUGGGGAAACCCGGCAGUCGUCAUGGGCUGUCACCCGCUGCUGAACACAUAGGCAGUGUGGAGGGAACGAGGGGAAGUGAAACAUCUCAGUACCCUCAGGAAGAGAAAACAA
rnacentral:rRNA from 1 species